GACGAACGCUGGCGGCGUGCUUAACACAUGCAAGUCGAACGAAGAGCGAUGGAAGCUUGCUUCUAUCAAUCUUAGUGGCGCACGGGUGAGUAACGCGUAAUCAACCCGCCCUUUUGGGGGGGACAACAGUAGGAAACGACUGCUAAUACCGCAAACGAUCUAAUCUCGGCAUCGAGGGUAGAUUAAAGGUGGCCUCGACAUGUAAGCUAUCACUGAAGUUGGGGAUUGCGUCUGUUUAGCACGCUGGAGGGGUAACGGCCCACCAAGGCGAGGAUCAGUAGCCGGUCUGAGAGGAUGGACGGCCACACUGGGACGGAGACACGGCCCAGACGGCUUCAGGAGGGAGCAGUGGGGAAUCGUCCGCAAGGGACGGAAGGCUGACGGAGCAACGCCGCGGGAGGGAUGACGGCCUUCGGGUUGUGAAGCUCUGUUUAUCGGGACGAAAGGGCUUCUUGCGAAUAGUGAGAAGGAUUGACGGUACCGGAAUAAAAAGCCACGGCUAACUACGUG
rnacentral:rRNA from 1 species